AAGCAGCUACAGGGACACCAUGACUUGGAAGGCCCUUCUCCUCAGCCUCCUGGCUCAUUACACAGGCUCUGUAGCCACUUAUGUGCUGACUCAGCCAUCAUCAGUAUCAGUGACCCCAGGACAAGCAGCCAGAAUCACCUGUGAAGGCGAUAGUAUUGGCAGCUAUAGUGUGCACUGGUACCAGCAGAAACCAGCACAGUCCCCGCUGCUCAUCAUCUACAAUGAUAAUAACUGUCCCUCAGGGAUCCCUGACCGAUUCACUGGCUCCAACUUUGGGAACACAGCCACCCUGACCAUCAGUGGGGCCCAGGCUGGAGAUGAGGCUGACUAUUACUGUCAGGUGUGGGAUGGCAGUGCUGCUCACAGUGACUCGAGCAGACAGGGAAGUCUUUGUGCCCUGCCUGUGCUGACCCAGACGCCAUCUGCAUCUGCCUCCCUGGGAGCCUCAGCCACACUCACCUGCACCCUGAGCAGUGAGCACAGCAACUACUACAUUUUAUGGUAUCAGCAGAGGCUGAGGAACAGCCCCCAGUAUGUGAUGAAGGUGAACAGUGAUGGCAGCCACAACAAGGGGACUAGGAUCUCUGAUUGCUUCACAGGCUCUAGUUCUGGGGCUAAUCGUUAA